GAUGAACGCUGGCGGUAUGCCUAACACAUGCAAGUCGAACGGAAUCUUCGGAUUUAGUGGCGGACGGGUGAGUAACGCGUGAGAAUCUGCCUUCAGGAUGGGGACAACAAUUGGAAACGAUUGCUAAUACCCGAUAUGCAGCGAUGUGAAAGAUUUAUCGCCUGGAGAUGAGCUCGCGUCUGAUUAGCUAGUUGGUGUGGUAAAGGCGCACCAAGGCGACGAUCAGUAGCUGGUCUGAGAGGAUGAGCAGCCACACUGGGACUGAGACACGGCCCAGACUCCUACGGGAGGCAGCAGUGGGGAAUUUUCCGCAAUGGGCGAAAGCCUGACGGAGCAAUACCGCGUGAGGGAGGAAGGCUCUUGGGUCGUAAACCUCUUUUCUCAGGGAAGAACAAAAUGACGGUACCUGAGGAAUAAGCAUCGGCUAACUCUGUGCCAGCAGCCGCGGUAAUACAGAGGAUGCAAGCGUUAUCCGGAAUGAUUGGGCGUAAAGCGUCCGUAGGUGGUUAUGUAAGUCUGUGGUUAAAGCGUGGAGCUCAACUCCAUAAGGGCCAUGGAAACUACAAGACUAGAGUCAAGUAGGGGUAGAGGGAAUUCCCAGUGUAGCGGUGAGAUGCGUAGAGAUUGGGAAGAACACCGGUGGCGAAAGCGCUCUACUGGACUUGUACUGACACUGAGGGACGAAAGCUAGGGGAGCGAAAGGGAUUAGAUACCCCUGUAGUCCUAGCCGUAAACGAUGGAUACUAGGUGUUGCCCG
rnacentral:rRNA from 1 species